rnacentral:rRNA from 1 species
GACGAACGCUGGCGGCGUGCUUAACACAUGCAAGUCGAACGGUAAGGCCCUUCGGGGUACACGAGUGGCGAACGGGUGAGUAACACGUGGGUGAUCUGCCCUGCACUUCGGGAUAAGCCUGGGAAACUGGGUCUAAUACCGGAUAGGACCCUGGGAUGCAUGUCCUGGGGUGGAAAGCUUUUGCGGUGUGGGAUGGGCCCGCGGCCUAUCAGCUAGUUGGUGAGGUAACGGCUCACCAAGGCAACGACGGGUAGCCGGCCUGAGAGGGCGACCGGCCACACUGGGACUGAGACACGGCCCAGACUCCUACGGGAGGCAGCAGUGGGGAAUAUUGGGCAAUGGGCGCAAGCCUGACCCAGCGACGCCGCGUGAGGGAUGAAGGCCUUCGGGUUGUAAACCUCUUUCAGUAGGGAAGAAGCGAAAGUGACGGUACCUAAGGAAGAAGCACCGGCUAACUAUGUGCCAGCAGCCGCCGUAA